rnacentral:lncRNA from 1 species
UGUUUCAAAUUCAGAACGUGUUUUCCACAAUGACAACGUCAUAAAUGCCGUUGAGAUUCCCAGGCCGGCUCCUAGAAACCCUUAAUAGUAGAAAACCAUAGGGGGAAACACCAGUAAUUAGACAGAACAGAAUACAAUUGCUUUUUUAAAAGUUAUUUUGAUCCCUGGUGGUCAAAUGAAAAACAUGAUCAUGGGAGGCCAUGGAAGGUGAGCCGUCGAUAUUCCGAAGGGAAGCCGGGAUCCGUCCAAGGGCGUUCGAGAUAAAAGCAGGAGCAAAGGCCACGUCGGGGACAUGAUACAUCACAACAUGCAGGCAGCAUGGCCCUGAGUCACCACGUGGAGACAAGCCUCAAGAGGACUCCACUUCCCAGUGGACGUUGCACGAGCAAGCAGGAAACCUCUUCUGUGAGCCCCUGAGGUUCAGGGUUUUUUGUUUUUUUUUAGUACCAUGGCUACUGUGACGUAUCCUGACUAAUGCCGACAGCACAGGGAGCCUUUGCCUGCCGGAGGAAGCGGUGAGGAAGAGGUGGUGCGUCGUGCACUUCCUGUUGCUGUUUUAGGACAGCUUGGACGUAGUUUGUUCCAGGGAAGUGCUGCUGAACCAGGUAAACCCAGCCCCCCAUCUCCAGGAGCAGAGGCUGCAAGGACAGGAAGACAAUGAGGCAAUGGUGUGCUGGGGGAAUCGUGCUAAAGUGAAAGCAUCCUUCGAUCAUUUUUAAGUCAUUCUAGGAUCUUCAGGGCAUCAAAGUUUUGCCUGUGAGCCUCAAUUGGUCUAAUACAAAAAUACAGACUGUGGUUAAUCAUCUGAGCUUUGAGAUCAUGUGAGAUUGUAAUCCUGCCUUGGUUCUGCCACUUACUGCUGGUGAAGGAAAAAUUAAUCUUUCCAAACAGCUUGCAAGACAGAAAUCAUGCUUUCUACCUCCCAAAGCUGCUGUGGGCAUGAAACAGCCCACGUGCAUGAGGUGCCCAGCAUAGCGCCUGGAAAUCACACACAAUCACAGAAUCAUGGGGCCAGAGGAGGCCCUUGAAGUUUUAUCUGAUUUACUCCUCCCAUGAGAUGCUUUAAUUCUCCAACUUCUCCUCAAUGGCACCUAUAAAGAAAUGGGUUCUCCCUCUGUUGUUCUC